rnacentral:rRNA from 1 species
GAUGAACGCUGGCGGCGUGCUUAACACAUGCAAGUCGAGCGAAGCGGCUGAAUUGAUUCUUCGGAUGAUUUUCAGUUGACUGAGCGGCGGACGGGUGAGUAACGCGUGGGUGACCUGCCCCAUACCGGGGGAUAACAGCUGGAAACGGCUGCUAAUACCGCAUAAGCGCACAGAGCUGCAUGGCUCGGUGUGAAAAACUCCGGUGGUAUGGGAUGGGCCCGCGUCUGAUUAGGCAGUUGGCGGGGUAACGGCCCACCAAACCGACGAUCAGUAGCCGGCCUGAGAGGGCGACCGGCCACAUUGGGACUGAGACACGGCCCAAACUCCUACGGGAGGCAGCAGUGGGGAAUAUUGCACAAUGGGGGAAACCCUGAUGCAGCGACGCCGCGUGAGCGAAGAAGUAUUUCGGUAUGUAAAGCUCUAUCAGCAGGGAAGAUAAUGACGGUACCUGACUAAGAAGCCCCGGCU